UUUACAUUUGAGUGAGUGGCGAACUGGUGAGUAACACGUGGGAAACCUGCCCAGAAGCGGGGGAUAACACCUGGAAACAGAUGCUAAUACCGCAUAACAACUUGGACCGCAUGGUCCGAGCUUGAAAGAUGGCUUCGGCUAUCACUUUUGGAUGGUCCCGCGGCGUAUUAGCUAGAUGGUGGGGUAACGGCUCACCAUGGCAAUGAUACGUAGCCGACCUGAGAGGGUAAUCGGCCACAUUGGGACUGAGACACGGCCCAAACUCCUACGGGAGGCAGCAGUAGGGAAUCUUCCACAAUGGACGAAAGUCUGAUGGAGCAACGCCGCGUGAGUGAAGAAGGGUUUCGGCUCGUAAAACUCUGUUGUUAAAGAAGAACAUAUCUGAGAGUAACUGUUCAGGUAUUGACGGUAUUUAACCAGAAAGCCACGGCUAACUACGUGCCAGCAGCCGCGGUAAUACG
rnacentral:rRNA from 2 species